AAGAGAGGUUUUGAUCUCUCUUGUUUUAUUUGUCUUUUUGACAGUAUUAGCUCCAGUGCUUAGUACAAUGCCUGGCACAUAGUUAGCUCUUAAUAAAUAUUUGUUGAAAAACUUCAUAAACGUCAUAAAUUUGUGUGAUUAAUUGAUCAAUGUAUCUGAUAAUUCUCCUAGAAUGUGAACUCCUUGAGACCAGAGACCGAGCCUGUUUUAUUCACUCCUGUAUCCCUAGAACUGAGCACAAGGCCUAGUGGGUUAGUAGAUGCUCAGAGCCUGGCUUCAUUAUACCACUGGCCAUUGUGUUUAAAUUAAGGACAAAAGACACAAGUUGGCCACUCUGGUAAAGAUGAGAAGAAGCAAGAGGGAGAAGGAGGCAGAGACGUGAUAAUUCUUCAUCUCACAUUCGUAUAUAAUGUCAGUGGUUCUUGGGAACUUUAAGCAGCUUUUCCUUGUUACCCAACUAGAAGGUAGCAGACCUAGAAGUUGAGCCUGGGUCAGUGAGGCUCCAAACCCCCUGCUGUUUCCAUUACAUCACACUACUUUCCAUAGCAGCAAAAUCCCAUUAAACACAGGUAUUGGGUAAAAAUGAUGGGCUGACUUUGUGUGAAUAGAUGGAAUCAUGAAGAGUUCACUAAAUAGGUCUGCAUGUGUGACUUUGGAAAGAAGGCAGACUAAAUGAAGGAACUUUCUUCAGAUCAUCAACACUGUGAAUGACAAAGCUUUGCUCUGUAUCAUGCUGGAAGUUUUGGGACCAUGCUAGAUGUUUUGAGAACACACGAAACAUCCUAUAAGACUGCACUCAAG
rnacentral:lncRNA from 10 species